GGUAUGCUUAGGGAGGAGCUUGCGUCACAUUAGUUAGUUGGUGGGGUAAAGGCCUACCAAGACUAUGAUGUGUAGCCGGGCUGAGAGGUUGAACGGCCACAUUGGGACUGAGACACGGCCCAAACUCCUACGGGAGGCAGCAGUAGGGAAUUUUCGGCAAUGGAGGAAACUCUGACCGAGCAACGCCGCGUGAACGAUGAAGUAUUUCGGUACGUAAAGUUCUUUUAUUAGGGAAGAAUAAAUGAUGGAAAAAUCAUUCUGACGGUACCUAAUGAAUAAGCCCCGGCUAACUAUGUGCCAGCAGCCGCGGUAAUACAUAGGGGGCAAGCGUUAUCCGGAAUUAUUGGGCGUAAAGGGUGCGUAGGCGGUUAAAUAAGUUUAUGGUCUAAGUGCAAUGCUCAACAUUGUGAUGCUAUAAAAACUGUUUAGCUAGAGUAAGAUAGAGGCAAGUGGAAUUCCAUGUGUAGUGGUAAAAUGCGUAAAUAUAUGGAGGAACACCAGUAGCGAAGGCGGCUUGCUGGGUCUUUACUGACGCUGAGGCACGAAAGCGUGGGGAGCAAACAGGAUUAGAUACCCUGGUAGUCCACGCCGUAAACGAUGAGUACUAAACGUUGGGUAAAACCAGUGUUGAAGUUAACACAUUAAGUACUCCGCCUGAGUAGUACGUACGCAAGUAUGAAACUUAAAGGAAUUGACGGGACUCCGCACAAGCGGUGGAUCAUGUUGUUUAAUUCGAAGGUACCCGAAAAACCUCACCAGGUCUUGACAUGCUUCUGCAAAGCUGUAGAAACACAGUGGAGGUUAUCAGUUGCACAGGUGGUGCAUGGUUGUCGUCAGCUCGUGUCGUGAGAUGUUGGGUUAAGUCCCGCAACGAGCGCAACCCUUAUUGUUAGUUACCAGCACGUAAUGGUGGGGACUUUAGCAAGACUGCCAGUGAUGAAUUGGAGGAAGGUGGGGACGACGUCAAAUCAUCAUGCCCCUUAUGACCUGGGCUACAAACGUGAUACAAUGGCUGUUACAAAGGGUAGCUGAAGCGCAAGUUUUUGGCGAAUCUCAAAAAAACAGUCUCAGUUCGGAUUGAAGUCUGCAACUCGACUUCAUGAAG
rnacentral:rRNA from 1 species